rnacentral:rRNA from 1 species
GACGGAGGGUGCAAGCGUUGUUCGGAAUUACUGGGCGUAAAGCGCGGGCAGGUGGCCUUUUAAGUCCUUUGUGAAAUUCCGGAGCUCAACUCCGGAUGUGCAUAGGAUACUGGAAGGCUAGAGACUGGUAGAGGCGAGCGGAAUUCCUGGUGUAGCGGUGGAAUGCGUAGAUAUCAGGAGGAACACCGGUGGCGAAGGCGGCAUCCUGGACCGACACUGACGCUGAGGCGCGAAAGCUAGGGGAGCAAACGGG